rnacentral:misc_RNA from 2 species
CUGCCCUCAAGCACGGCUUGUGUGUUGGGCCCUGUCCUCCAUCCCCGGGGGACAGGCCCGAAAGGCAGCGGCGGCACCGCGUCCGGUCCUCGAGCGUAUGGGGCUUUGUCACCCGCUCUGUAGGCCCGGCCGGCGCCAGCCGAUCAACCACACUUCUUUCCA